AAAUAUAAGAGUUAAAACCCCUUCAACUCCU
rnacentral:tRNA from 1 species